ACGGGUCGUGUGCGUCUGCGCAUGCGCAGCAAAUGCGGUUAUUGAUCCAGAGAGCAGCUGUAUCGGCCGAUCCGCCCCUCACCCUGCAGGACAAUAGCAAAACAGCUGUGAGAUCAGAGAAACACACUCGCUUUCUGUUUACAUUCAUCCAGAGGACAGGAUGGACGUGAUGUGUGACGCGAAGCGACAGCAGGGGCGAGGAUCAAUAGGGCCGGAGUCAUUAGCAUUGUGUGAAUAUGCGUUGGACCAUGGGAAAGGGACACAACACUCGGCCGCUGCGCUCUCAUUGGUCAGAUACACGUCCAGGUGUCAAUAUGAAGCAACAGAGGGCAGCAUUACACUCGACUCAACCACCAAAACUGCAUAAACACAGGUC